rnacentral:rRNA from 1 species
GAUGAACGCUGGCGGCGUGCCUAAUACAUGCAAGUCGAGCGAACAGACGAGGAGCUUGCUCCUCUGACGUUAGCGGCGGACGGGUGAGUAACACGUGGAUAACCUACCUAUAAGACUGGGAUAACUUCGGGAAACCGGAGCUAAUACCGGAUAAUAUAUUGAACCGCAUGGUUCAAUAGUGAAAGACGGUUUUGCUGUCACUUAUAGAUGGAUCCGCGCCGCAUUAGCUAGUUGGUAAGGUAACGGCUUACCAAGGCGACGAUGCGUAGCCGACCUGAGAGGGUGAUCGGCCACACUGGAACUGAGACACGGUCCAGACUCCUACGGGAGUCAGCAGUAGGGAAUCUUCCGCAAUGGGCGAAAGCCUGACGGAGCAACGCCGCGUGAGUGAUGAAGGUCUUCGGAUCGUAAAACUCUGUUAUUAGGGAAGAACAAAUGUGUAAGUAACUAUGCACGUCUUGACGGUACCUAAUCAGAAAGCCACGGCUAACUACGUG